AGAAAACGUCGUGAUAUUAAAAUAAAGAAAUUAUAUCUUAAAUUUUACAUUCUUCUCAAAUGCUAGGCCUGCAUCAUAUAUUAUAUCUCCCAUGAAACACAUCAUGUAAUAGCCACACUUUACAUUUGUUGGUUGUCUAUGAGUGCCUUGUAGAUUUUUCCAUGUGGGUGAUUUAUGUGAUGAUUGUUUGCCUAUGUGAGAGUUAUAUAUUUUGAUUGAACUGUUUCAAGAAAACAAAAAGUGUUAAUGACAAAACUAAAAAUCAGCAUAAA
rnacentral:lncRNA from 1 species